rnacentral:rRNA from 1 species
AGGGCACCACCAGGAGUGGAGCCUGCGGCUUAAUUUGACUCAACACGGGAAAACUCACCCGGCCCGGACACUGGAAGGAUUGACAGAUUGAGAGCUCUUUCUUGAUUCAGUGGGUGGUGGUGCAUGGCCGUUCUUAGUUGGUGGAGUGAUUUGUCUGGUUAAUUCCGAUAACGAACGAGACUCUAGCCUACUAAAUAGAUCGUCGGCUUACAAACGCCGGCGAGACUUCUUAGAGGGACAGGCGGUGAUUCAACCGCACGAAACAGAGCAAUAACAGGUCUGUGAUGCCCUUAGAUGUCCGGGGCCGCACGCGCGCUACACUGAAGUGAUCAGCGUGCUUUUUCAACCUACUCUGUCAAGAGUGGGGAACCCAAUGAACCUUCUUCGUGAUUGGGAUAGGGGAUUGUAAUUAUUCCCCUUGAACGAGGAAUUCCCAGUAAGCGCGAGUCAUAAGCUCGCGUUGAUUACGUCCCUGCCCUUUGUACACACCGCCCGUCGCUACUACCGAUUGGAUGUUUU